rnacentral:rRNA from 1 species
AUUGAACGCUAGCGGGAUGCCUUACACAUGCAAGUCGAACGGCAGCACGGACUUCGGUCUGGUGGCGAGUGGCGAACGGGUGAGUAAUGUAUCGGAACGUGCCCAGUAGCGGGGGAUAACUACGCGAAAGCGUAGCUAAUACCGCAUACGCCCUACGGGGGAAAGCAGGGGAUCGUAAGACCUUGCACUAUGGGAGCGGCCGAUAUCGGAUUAGCUAGUUGGUGAGGAAAUGGCUCACCAAGGCGACGAUCCGUAGCUGGUUUGAGAGGACGACCAGCCACACUGGGACUGAGACACGGCCCAGACUCCUACGGGAGGCAGCAGUGGGGAAUUUUGGACAAUGGGGGAAACCCUGAUCCAGCCAUCCCGCGUGUGCGAUGAAGGCCUUCGGGUUGUAAAGCACUUUUGGCAGGAAAGAAAUGGCGUGUGUUAAUACCAUGCGCAGAUGACGGUACCUGCAGAAUAAGCACCGGCUAACUACGUGCCAGCCGCCGCGGUAA